rnacentral:lncRNA from 1 species
GCGCGGCGCUGGGCUGCUGCAGAAAUCCCGUCGCGUAGCUCUGGGAGAAGUCACGGCCAGGCGGUUUCUCUGCAGCGCUUCAGCCGAGUCCCUAAAUAAGGGCUUUAACUACAGAGGAGGGCGAAGGCUUUCAGCUGCUUCUUAAAACGUGGUGCCCUGAGUACAAGGGAAACGCCAAGCUCUCUGCUCCGAGCUUGGGGUUCGCGUCUCGCUGCCUGUCCUGAACAGAGCUGCGCUCCUGCCUUUUUCUGCAUGGCAGCGCCGAGCAAGAUCAGGAGAAGAGACUUUGCAAAGUAGAGCGUGGUCUGGCCAGGAAUCCAAAGUUCCUUGUAUACAAAAGGACUUGCAAACAAGACCCUGUCUUGAGGCGCUGGGAGUCUGAGCAGAGUGCUUCGCAAAGCCAAAUGGGAAGGCGCUUGCUUGUUGGAGGUCCUGAUCCGUGCUAGGGCUGGUCCUCACGCGCUUGCUUAACUUGUACAGCAUUUGCUUUGGACUCAAGAUUGGCUUGAACCCCUGUAGCUUUGUGAUUUGUUCCUGAUCUCUUAGGGAGAGAGGGAUGUCAGGGGCAAUGGGGCUUUCGGUGUCCUUGGGAUAGAGAGCAGGGGAGCUAGCCUGUCGGUGCUCACCUAAGCCUGCUCUUCUCUUAGAAACCCAGAGGGAUGAAGGGAGGAGGUUGCUGGAAGGCUCUGCCAGGCACAGCAGGCCACUGGCUCCAUUCAUUUCUUCUCCCUUCUCCUGGCAGCGGUGUCCACGUCUGUGUUCAUCGUGGCGAUUCUGGUCCUCCUGCUGCUCUUGUAUCACCGGGACCCUUUGUGUUGCCAGUUCCUCUGCUCGUGUCGCUUCUUCCAGAGUCCUAGCCAGUAUGACUGCCCCCCUCCGUACUUCAGUAGCAGCCAGCGGCUGGUGGGACCUCAGCAUGGAGCAUCGCAACUGGAGAGCGCUGCCGAGAAUCCUGGCAUGCAGGGAGAUGAACUAUUCUGCGUUGGAACCCCGAGCAGCUACCAACUCCCUUCCUGGGAACAGCCUCACCUGCCAAGCUAUGAGAGUGUGCGGAAGAAAGAUCGCCAGCGGGAAAUCCAUCAUAUGAUCGCUGAGAGGUUUGGGCUGUGGGCAGACCCUUCCCAGGAGAUGCCACCUCCCUACGAGCAUGCUCUAAGGCAUCCUCCAGCUUUCUCAGGAACAGUAGUAAGCUCAGAGACUUUGGACAGACAUGGCAUGCCAGACCCUUUCCAGGCCCCUCUCAGCUACCAAACUCAGAGAAACACAGCAGUGUAA